GUUGUAUAGUUAAGUGACUAAGCGCACAAGGUGGAUGCCUUGGCAAUCAGAGGCGAAGAAGGACGUGCUAAUCUGCGAAAAGCUUGGAUGAGUUGAUAAGAAGCGUUUAAUCCAAGAUAUCCGAAUGGGGAAACCCAGUAGGUGAAGAACCUACUAUCACAUACUGAAUACAUAGGUAUGUGAGGCAAACCGGGAGAACUGAAACAUCUAAGUACCCCGAGGAAAAGAAAUCAACCGAGAUUUCGUUAGUAGCGGCGAGCGAACGCGAAAGAGCCAGUUAGUGAUAGCUUGAAUGUUAGGAGAAUGCUCUGGGAAGGGCAAUCGCAGAGGGUGAUAAUCCCGUAUCCGAAAACAUUCUGGUGGUACUAGGCUAACGACAAGUAGGGCGGGACACGUGAUAUCCUGUUUGAAGAUGGCGGGGACCAUCCUCCAAGGCUAAAUACUCCUGAUUGACCGAUAGUGAACCAGUACUGUGAAGGAAAGGCGAAAAGAACCCCGGCGAGGGGGGGGACGGAGAAGGUUAGGUUAGCAGACUGUUGGAUGUCUGUUUAAGCAGGUAGGUGGAAGACUUAGGCAAAUCCGGGUCUUCUUAACACCGAGAAGUGAUGACGAGUUUCUACGGAGAUGAAGUAACUGAUACCACGCUUCCAGGAAAAGCCACUAAGCUUCAGGUUAUUAUAAACCGUACUAUAAACCGACACAGGUGGUCAGGUAGAGAAUACUCAGGCGCUUGAGAGAACUCGGGUGAAGGAACUAGGCAAAAUAGCACCGUAACUUCGGGAGAAGGUGCGCCGGCGUAGAUUGUAGCCCCUGCGGCGUGAAGGUUGAACGGUCGAAGGAUACCAGCUGGCUGCAACUGUUUAUUAAAAACACAGCACUCUGCAAACACGAAAGGUGUGGACGUAUAGGGGUGUGAUGCCUGCCCGGGUGCUGGAAGGUUAAUUGAUGGUGUUAUCGAAAGAGAAGCUCCUGAUCGAAGCCCAGUAAACGGCGGCCGUAACUAUAACGGUCCUAAGGUAGCGGAAUUCCUUGUCGGGUAAGUUCCGACCUGCACGAAUGGCAUAAUGAUGCGCCAGGCUGUCUCCACCCGAGACUCAGUGGAAAUUGAAAUCGCCGUGAAGAUGCGGUGUACCCGCGGCUAGACGGAAAGACCCCGUGAACCUUUUACUAUAGCUUGACACUGAACAUUGAAUUUGAUGUGUAGAUAGGUGGGAGACUGAGAAGAUGAUACGCCAGUAUUGUUGGAGUCGUCCUUGAAAUACACCCUUCAACGUUUGAUGUUCUAACGAAGAUUACGAAACGUGGUCUCGGACAGUGUCUGGUGGGUAGUUUGGACUGGGGCGGUCUCCUCCCAAAGAGUAACGGAGGAGCACGAAGGUUUGCUAAUGACGGUCGGACAUCGUCAGGUUAGUGCAAUGGUAUAAGCAAGCUUAACUGCGAGACAGACAAGUCGAGCAGGUGCGAAAGCAGGUCAUAGUGAUCCGGUGGUUCUGAAUGGAAGGGCCAUCGCUCAACGGAUAAAAGGUACUCCGGGGAUAACAGGCUGAUACCGCCCAAGAGUUCAUAUCGACGGCGGUGUUUGGCACCUCGAUGUCGGCUCAUCACAUCCUGGGCUGAAGUAGGUCCCAAGGGUAUGGCUGUUCGCCAUUUAAAGUGGUACGCGAGCUGGGUUUAGAACGUCGUGAGACAGUUCGGUCCCUAUCUGCCGUGGCGUUGGAGAAUUGGUUGGGGCUGCUCCUAGUACGAGAGGACCGGAGUGGACGCACCACUGGUGUUCCGGUUGUGUCGCCAGACGCAUUGCCGGGUAGCUAAGUGCGGAAGAGAUAAGUGCUGAAAGCAUCUAAGCACGAAACUUGCCAAGAGAUGAGUUCUCCCUAGCUAUAAGCUAGUAAGGGUUGUUGGAGACUACGACGUAGAUAGGCUGGGUGUGUAAGUGUUGCGAGACAUUGAGCUAACCAGUACUAAUUGCCCGAGAGGCUUAACUAUACAACCUCAAGCGUU
rnacentral:rRNA from 1 species